UUUCACAUUCAAAACGAGGCUUUUGCCAUAUUGUUAUUUCCAAGAGGAGAACACUCGACAUUUUCUCUUCCCGUCGUAGGUGUCAACCGAACCUGAGGAAAUUCCGACAUUUUGUAGAAUUAAAGCCAGUUUUUGCUGAAGUCUGUGUAAUCACCACAUGUUAGAGAGGACCAGAAUUUACCUCUGAUUCAAAUUGAUAUUACUGGCGUGACAUCAGUGACCUUAUUUACGUCACAACAGAGUGCAUUGUUUAUUGGAUGUGGGUGUCUUAGGGAAACAUUUUCGUGCCAAUCAUCAUUUGUGUGAUACAUCAUCAACAUCUGUGCACCAUAUUAUUGCAAUUCGUGUACUACGUCAUCACUGUCGUCAU